rnacentral:rRNA from 1 species
CCUACGGGAGGCAGCAGUCGAGAAUCAUUCACAAUGGGGGCAACCCUGAUGGUGCGACGCCGCGUGGGGGAAUGAAGGUCUUCGAAUUGUAAACCCCUGUCAUGUGGGAGCAAAUUAAAAAGAUAGUACCACAAGAGGAAGAGACGGCUAACUCUGGGCCAGCAGCCGAGGUAAUACAGAGGUCUCAAGCGUUGUUCGGAAUCACUGGGCGUAAAGCGUGCGUAGGCUGUUUCGUAAGUCGUGUGUGAAAGGCGCGGGCUCAACCCGCGGAAGGCACAUGAUACUGCGAGACUAGAGUAAUGGAGGGGGAACCGGAAUUCUCGGUGUAGCAGUGAAAUGCGUAGAUAUCGAGAGGAACACUCGUGGCGAAGGCGGGUUCCUGGACAUUAACUGACGCUGAGGCACGAAGGCCAGGGGAGCGAAAGGGAUUAGAUACCCCUGUAGUC